UUCCAUCCCUCCCCUUCUGGCCUCACUCGCCCCCAGGAGCGAAAGGGGUCUUAUAUACAUGGUGCAAUUCUUGCCUGUGACUCACGAGAAAGGGGCUGAUCUGGAGUGAGAGAGAUGCUGACCUGCAAUAAUAAAUGACCUAAACACCAUAAAGGGCUCUACCAAGACUCUUCCCACACCAUCGGGUCUGGGGGAAGUAGGACCCAAAAGGAGUGGAGAAGACUAAGGAUGGGGCCCAAAAGCAGAUCCAGUUUGGGGGAGGGUGAAAAAGGAGAAAGGCACGAUCGUCCUCCAACAUUGCCAGAUAUAACAAACAUCUACAGAUGGGUCGGUCUGCAGCUGAGCAGAUUUAACUUUGUAAUAUUUAUUUGAAAUAUCCAAGCCAGCAGAGCAAGGCUGAAACAGAGUGGGCAGGACUCACGAUGUUUUGGCACGGGAACCAGUCGUAGUUGAACUUAGUUUGUUCAGCUCAGAUGGAAUUUAUGCAGAUGUGCCUUGCACUAAAUGCAUUAAACAAUUACAUCCUGAUGCAGUUUUCA